GGCCUCUCCUUUUCUUUUUCCUUUUUGCCCUUUUUUCUUCUCUCUUUUUCAUUUUCAUUUUGACUUUGAUUUUGAUUUUUCUUUUUCUUUUUUUUUUGUUUUUGAUUUUUUCUGGAUUGGAUCUGAACCCAUAGGAAUAGGCAAGUCCUUAUUAUCCGUUUUGAAGAAUCUUCUUUGAUAUCGGAUUUCCUUCAUAGAGCCUUCUGGGGCGAAACUACGACAGAGAAAUUUUGAUCUUCCUCUUCAAUGAGGAUAAAAUCC
rnacentral:lncRNA from 1 species